GGUUCUUUGCAUCUUAGAGUUGCUGGCACAUUCACAACUGUGCCGAUCUCUUCUGUAAGACAGUGGUGCUCAUUGAGCAGUGCUGUUUUAUCCGUCCCCGACGAGAGAAACUAAAGCUCCACAGAUCACAGCUGAAGACAGGCACAAAAGCAAUGAGUGUGUGUCAGCCCCAGAUGGAAGCUGAGGUGCUAUUGGGACAGGCAGGGGAAAGGAGAAGAAAACUGGGACAAGAACACAACAUCAUUCCUAAAUGUGGAGUGCUCAGCAGCGAUGGGAUGUAAUCAUUGCAGAAGAUCAAAGGAAAAAAUCCCUGUUAAUCCCCAUUCUUCCCUGUGCUGGGGCAGAAAG